AAAUUAGUUUAGAUCAUUUAAAUACUUUGAUCUCGAAGCGUUAAGUGUAUAACCUAUAUUUAGUUGACUGUCUAAUCUUUAUCGAGUUUAAUACUUGGUUAAACUUGUAUUUUAAUAUCUUAGGAAAGCAUAUACUGAAUAAGUAAGAUGAUACGUCAACAAAUAAUAGUUAUAAUGUGCAUGAUUUUUAUUGUAAGCAUCGCAGAAUGUGGCAAAGGAGAUAUCAGGAGAGGCUAUCGCUGUAAUGGAGGCAAAUGUCAAGUAUAUGAUUAUUAUGAAAGGGAAUGGUGUUACCCAAGAAGAGAUCGAUCUCAUAGGUUCAGACCGCCAAAAUGUGUACAUUACUCAGAUUGCUAUGGGUUGGAUUGUGAAUAAAGUAGUAUGUCAAAAGAUAACCAAAGAAAAGAAGAAAAAAAGAAGAAAAAAAACUUUUGAUUAACUAGUAUAACAGACAAAGUUAGUCGGUACUUUUUGAAUACCGACUAACUUUCAUGAUGGUUCUUGGUAUAUGAUGGUAUACAAUAUCACUUUAUAUCACUUUAUUAUUGAUAAAUAUAUUUUAUCAUACUAAACCUGAUGAUUUUUUUUAUCAUUUUUAUUAUUACAUAUAUAUAUACAGGGCUUUGGACCAGCUGCGGAGCUGGAGCCGGAGCUAUUCGAGGCUGGUGAUUUUACUAGGAGCUGAGCCGGAGCUGGAGUCAAGAUAUUACCUGCCGAAGCUGGCGACGGACCAACUCCAAGCCAGUUCCACCCUUUUGAUAUUUUGAAAUAUCAAAUUUCCAUAAAGUUAUUAUUUUAUAUAAUUAGAUUUUGUUAAAGAAUUUAAACAAUUACGUUCAUUAAA
rnacentral:lncRNA from 1 species